rnacentral:rRNA from 1 species
UACAGAGGGUGCAAGCGUUGUUCGGAAUUAUUGGGCGUAAAGCGCGUGUAGGCGGUCUUGCAAGUCGGGUGUGGAAUCCCCAGGCUUAACCUGGGAAUUGCAUCCGAUACUGGAUGGCUUGAAUCCGGGAGAGGGAUGCGGAAUUCCAGGUGUAGCGGUGAAAUGCGUAGAUAUCUGGAGGAACACCGGUGGCGAAGGCGGCAUCCUGGACCGGCAUUGACGCUGAGGAGCGAAAGCCAGGGGAGCAAACGGG